AAAAACAGGAGGUAGGUGCAGCGCCUAAAUAGUCCUCAUAGGGGUAUAUAAAAGGAAAGUUGGAGUUGUAUUAAAGAUCCAGAAAAGUGUGAGUGGCAAUUUUUUAUCUUAUUUACUCCAACCAAAGUUUUAAAUACUACACUAUUAAAUUUCCCUUUUUUCCUUUCAUAUACCCCUAUGAGGACUAUUUAGGCACUGCACCUACCUCCUGUUUUUU